GAUGAACGCUAGCUACAGGCUUAACACAUGCAAGUCGAGGGGAAACGAUAGAGAAAGCUUGCUUUUUCUAGGCGUCGACCGGCGCACGGGUGAGUAACGCGUAUCCAACCUGCCCACCACUUGGGGAUAACCUUGCGAAAGUAAGACUAAUACCCUAUGAUAUCUCAAGAAGACAUCUGAAUGAGAUUAAAGAUUUAUCGGUGAUGGAUGGGGAUGCGUCUGAUUAGCUUGUUGGCGGGGUAACGGCCCACCAAGGCGACGAUCAGUAGGGGUUCACAUAGGAAGGUCCCCCAAACUGGAACUGGGACAUGUGCCAAACUCCUACGGGAGGCAGCAGUGAGGAAUAUUGGUCAAGGGGCGAGAGCCUGAACCAGCCAAGUAGCGUGCAGGAUGACGGCCCUAUGGGUUGUAAACUGCUUUUAUAAGGGAAUAAAGUGAGUCUCGUGAGGCUUUUUGCAUGUACCUUAUGAAUAAGGACCGGCUAAUUCCGUGCCAGCAGCCGCCGUAACAC
rnacentral:rRNA from 1 species